rnacentral:rRNA from 1 species
AGAUUGAACGCUGGCGGCAUGCCUUACACAUGCAAGUCGAACGGCAGCACGGGAGCAAUCCUGGUGGCGAGUGGCGAACGGGUGAGUAAUACAUCGGAACGUGCCCAAUCGUGGGGGAUAACGCAGCGAAAGCUGUGCUAAUACCGCAUAAGAUCUACGGAUGAAAGCAGGGGAUCGCAAGACCUUGCGCGAAUGGAGCGGCCGAUGGCAGAUUAGGUAGUUGGUGAGGUAAAGGCUCACCAAGCCUUCGAUCUGUAGCUGGUCUGAGAGGACGACCAGCCACACUGGGACUGACGACACGGCCCAGACUCCGUA